CUAGCUUCCUGCUGCCUGCAGGCACAGGCCUUGCGGGCGAUUGCGGUGCUAGCCAGCAACACGAGGGAGCUUAAGCUUCCAGGCGGUGCCACUUCUGACGCUGGUAGGCCAAGGUCAGCUCCUUGCAUCGCGCCAGCGCUGAGGGGAACCGCCGCUGAGAACUGAGAAGUGCUCUGCGCCUGCCUUCCCUCCCGGUUCCGAAAUCUGUUCGAAUUUCCAGUAUUUCCCAGGGAAGGUGGCAUAAAAACACCCUGGCCCCCUCACUCCGCCCCACAGUUUCCGGGGGCUGUUCUUUCCAUCCCGCCGUUAUGCCCUGCCGGCAGGGCCCACCUGCAGAAGCCUCACCCCUUAGGGUGCCACUGAGCCGACCCAGCCCUCCCCCACCCAACAGCAAGGAUUUGUCCCUGGGGAGGGCAGGAAAGUGAUAAGUGCUGAGAUCACUUCCAGAUUGGGUUGAUGAGUGUUAUUUGUUUGCUCCUCCCCCGCUAGUACUGCGGCGCAGGCGCGCUCUAUGGGCAGGCUCAACCCUAGGCUCAAGAUGGCGGCGGCAGCGGCAGAUAAACAGAAGCACGAGCACAGCCGCGUGAAGAUUGGGCACUAUAUUCUGGGCGACACGCUCGGCGUCGGUACCUUCGGCAAAGUCAAAGUUGGUAAACAUGAAUUAACUGGGCAUAAAGUCGCAGUGAAGAUCCUAAAUCGACAGAAGAUUCGCAGCCUUGAUGUUGUAGGAAAAAUCCGCAGGGAGAUCCAGAACCUCAAACUCUUCAGACAUCCUCAUAUAAUUAAACUGUACCAGGUCAUCAGUACACCCACUGACAUUUUCAUGGUGAUGGAAUAUGUUUCAGGAGGAGAACUGUUUGAUUAUAUCUGUAAAAAUGGAAGGCUUGAUGAAAAGGAAAGUAGACAUCUGUUCCAGCAAAUCCUUUCUGGUGUGGAUUACUGUCACAGGCACAUGGUAGUACAUAGAGAUCUGAAGCCUGAAAAUGUGCUGCUUGAUGCACACAUGAAUGCCAAGAUAGCUGAUUUUGGUCUAUCAAAUAUGAUGGCAGAUGGAGAAUUUUUAAGAACAAGCUGUGGUUCCCCUAACUAUGCUGCACCAGAAGUAAUUUCAGGAAGAUUAUAUGCAGGUCCAGAAGUAGAUAUUUGGAGCACUGGAGUUAUUCUCUAUGCUUUGUUAUGUGGAACACUUCCAUUUGAUGAUGAUCACGUGCCAACCCUUUUUAAGAAGAUAUGUGAUGGUAUCUUUUAUACCCCUCAAUACCUGAAUCCAUCUGUAUCUAGUCUUCUGAAACACAUGCUGCAAGUAGAUCCAAUGAAGAGAGCAACAAUCAGAAACAUUAGAGAACAUGAAUGGUUUAAGCAGGACCUUCCUAAGUACCUGUUUCCUGAAGACCCGUCAUAUAGUUCUACCAUGGUUGAUGAUGAAGCCUUAAAAGAAGUGUGUGAGAAGUUUGAAUGCACUGAAGAAGAAGUGCUAAGUUGUCUGUACAGCCAAAAUCAUCAGGACCCUUUAGUGGUUGCUUAUCACCUCAUUAUAGAUAAUAGAAGAAUAAUGAAUGAGGCCAAAGACUUCUACUUGGCUACAAGCCCACCGGAUUCUUUUCUUGAUGAUCACAAUCUGUCUCGACCUCAUCCUGAAAGAGUGCCAUUCUUAGUAGCUGAAGCACCACGUCCCCGCCAUACUCUUGAUGAGCUGAAUCCACAGAAGUCAAAACACCAAGGUGUAAGAAGAGCGAAGUGGCACUUGGGAAUACGGAGUCAGAGUAGACCAAAUGAUAUCAUGUCUGAAGUUUGUCGAGCAAUUAAACAACUGGAUUAUGAAUGGAAGGUUGUAAAUCCAUACUAUCUGCGUGUUCGAAGCAAGAAUCCAGUGACAAGUGCAUAUUCCAAAAUGAGUCUACAGUUGUAUCAGGUGGAUAGCAGGACGUACUUACUGGACUUCCGUAGCAUUGAUGGAAUGAGAAUAUGACCACCUUGCAGACAAGUUGAUGGGCUUUCUCCUCUCCUCAAAGCAGGGACACCUCUUUGCCCUGAAGACACCAUCAGGAUUAAGAGGAAGAAGUUGACACUGACCAGACAGAAUCCUUUGUUUGAAUGGAAUUUAUGCAUCAUAUAUGAGUCACGGGUUUUUUUUCUAGUCAGAGAAGAGGAGGUGAGAAUAUGUGAGGGAAACAACAUGGUGAGACCAAGGUCAGUGGAGAAGGAGGGGGAAGAGGUGUUCCAGGUACCAGAGCCGAGAUUCCUCUGCAGGCUGUGGUGAAGACUAUGGUGAAGCAGGCUGUCCCCCUGCAGCCCAUGGGUCCAUGGGGGAUGCAGAGAUCCACCCGCAUCCUGUGGGGCAGGUGCCCAUGCUGGAGCAGGUGGAUGCCUCGAGGAGGCUGUGAUCCAGUGGGAGACCCGGUGGAGAGAGGGCCCCUGUUUCCAGGCUGGAACAGCCUGUCCUUGGAGGACUGCACCCCAUGAAACGAGAGACCCACAUUGCAGCAGUUUUGGGAGGACUGCCCAUGGGAGGGACUCAUGUUGCAGCAGGUGUGGUAUGGCUGCUGCUCGUGAGAGUGGACCCACGUCGGAGAAGUUCGCGGAGAACUGUCUCCCAUGGGAGGGACCCCACAGUCUCACAGGGGAAGGACUCCUCCCCCACAGCAGCAGAAGAAAAUCUAGGUGAUGAACUGACCCAAAAAACCCCCAUACCCUGUCUCCCUGUACUGUCAGUUGCAAGGAGGGAAUGGCUGGGGGGGAGAAGGGGUUUUAAGGGGUUAUUUUAGUUCUCAUUAUCCUCCUCUGAUUCUGUUAGUAAUAAAUUUACUUUGCAACUUAUGUGGAGCCUGUUUUGCUCUGAAUUGUUUUCUCCUGGUCCUUAUCUCACUCAUGAACCCUUCAUUAUUUUUUUUCCCCUCUCCUCUGCUCAGCUGUAGCAGGGGAGGGUGAGUGAGGGUGAGUGAGCAACUCUCAUGGGUGCCUGGCAUUGGGCCAGUGUCAAACCACGACAGCCUCUCUCCUUCAAGGUAGUCAAGAGCUCGUCCUAACUUAUUAUCAUCUGCAAACUUAGUAUCCCUUAGAGUCCUGCAUCCAAGUAAUCUAUGAAGAUGUUGAAGAGCACUGGAGCCCUGUGGAACCCCACUAGUGAUCAGCCAGCCUUGUCUUGAUUUGAGACAAAUAAGGAAACAUCCUGAAAGGAGUCUCCUCUAAAAAAGCAGGUUUCAGCACUCCCUCCCCCCACCAGUUCAAAAGGAAUCUUGGAGGAAAGGGAAAAAAAAUGUUUAUUUAACAAGCAGAGUGCACGCAGGCACAAGAAAAAUAAUAAAUAAUGUUAGAUAUUGAAACCUCCCUGUGGAGAAAGCUGGUGGAUUCAGAGUUCUUUCUGUAGGUGUGGCUCAGCUCCUCCUGAGGUCUGGAGCUGGGAUGCAGAGUCCCAGGGCCUCCCCUCUGGGCCACGGCGUGGGGCUCCCAGCAAUUUUCUGGUGUUCAGACCAGGGCAAAGCCGAACAGUUCCAGAAGAAGCAGCCACAGUCUCAGGAAAACUUCUUGCCUCAGCUAACAAACAAGAAGCUAGCUAAUAGCAAAGAUGUACUCCCUCUAUCAGUGCUACACAACACAGCUGAGUGAACCUGGGGGAGGAUGUGUGAAAAGCACACCGAAAUAUUUCCACUGGCUUCCCCUCCCUCUCUCGGACCUAGCUUAAAGUUACAGGACCCAUAAAGCAGAUGAUAGGGGAUACAGUAUCAUAACCACCCCAGGACACUACUCCUCUGCUCUUAGGAGGUGGUGCUUAAAAAGUGACCAGAACUGAUGGACCCCAGCACUGAUGCCAGAAUGAUUUUUGCUUUUAUAUUUCCUUCAUAUAUAUUCAUAAAUCUGUAGACUUGUCCUCGUUUGAGACAGAUUUGGAAACUUCCCAAAGGUUCUUUCCUCUAAAGGGCAGAAUUCAGCAGCCCCUCCCCCAACCAGUUUGGGAGAUAAUCUCCUUGGAGAAAAGUGAAAAAAACUGUUUAUUUAACAAGCAUAGUACUCACAAGCAUGAAAAAAAAAUAUUAAACAAUGAAACCUCUUGCUGUUUUGAAGAGAUGGCAAAUUCAGAAAGUCCUUCUGUAGUUCAGUGAGUCCUCCAUGGGUGUGUCUCGGCCUUGCUCAGUCUCUCUCAAUCCCUCUGGAGAAGGAACCUGGAGUCCAGGCUGCAGAGCAGCUUGGGGGGGCCCCCCGGGCAAUGGUCCUGGUGUUCUGGACCAGAGAGAAGCCAAACAUUCCCAGAAGAAAGACACAGUCCUGGGAAAACCUUUCUUGCCAUAGCUAACGAGAAAAACCAGUGGAAAAAAAAGCAAAGAAAAACUCCUUGUGUCUCUCUCUCUGCAAAAGCCAAGAACUUGG